rnacentral:lncRNA from 1 species
AUAGGUUUGGUUUAUAUAAGACUUUAAAGCAUAUUAGAUGCACAUAUCAAUUUUGAUAAAAAAUUAAUACAGCACCGACCGUUCCUAGAGCAAGUGGCAAAGAACGUGAUGGUUGAUACCCGAGAUCCAAGUUCGAAUCCAAGUUGAUUCACAUUUCCAGCUAAGUUUAUUUAUAAAUGAAAUAAACGAAAUAGGUAGCGUGCUACCUAUCUCUCAAAAAAAAAAUUAAUAAUACAGCAAAACGAAUACACUAAUCAUAACAAAUUUAUUGUGAUCAUAAAAUAAUUGAU